GCGGGCGUAGCUCAAUGGCAGAGCAUCGGCCUUCCAAGCCGAGUAUGUGGGUUCGAUUCCCAUCGCCCGCU
rnacentral:tRNA from 1 species